GCGGGAAAAUGACGUCACAAACUACGCGCCAAAAAAUUAGCGGUUAGCUAUUGCUUAUUUUAUGCUCUAAUUCGGUAGACGACAUCGAGAGAGUCUUAAAACUGAAGUCCGUUUCGAAAUACAACCAUUCCUUGCGAAGAUAUCAUGAUUUAAAUUUCUAAAAAUCGGCCAUUUUCUUCUAUUUUUCGACAUUUGUACCGCAAUAUCUUCGCGAGAAAUAGUCGUAUUUAGAAACGGAGUUCAGUUUUAUGACUUUCUCAAUGUCAUCUACCGAAUAAGUGCAUAAAAUUAACAAUAGCUAACUGUUAAUUUUUUGGCGCCAAGUUUGUGACGUCAUUUUCCCGCCAAAAAUGUAGCAAUUCGAAAAACAAAAACCAUACGAUUUGUAAGAAUGACAUGUUUUAUGUUUAUGGGAAAUUUUGUAGAAACAGGACGAAAAUUAAAGAAGUUGAAGCACAUUAGCGCUUUGGCAUGCAUUUGUGGCAGGCGUGCAAGAAUACAUGCAAGUUGAAAUUGAAUGAAGCCAAGUCACAUGCAGAAUAGAUACAGACCUUACAGAAGGCCGACUUGUUUUGUCUACGAUUUUGGCGUAAACGUUGCAAUGAUGUCGCCAUGUUCCUAGUCAGUGCGCUUGCGAUGGUGAAUGGCUAGCUAGGUACUGGCUAGGAACAUGGCAAGGUCACUCGCUAGGAACAUCGCGAGUGCAUUUUGAUGACGAACUAUUGCGAAUCAUGGCGUGGCGGCGGUCACGCUUUCUGGCUGAGCCGGCCUUCUGCAAGGUCUCUAUUCUGUGGCCAAGUAGCUAGUAUGUUGUAAUCUUUAUUAAAAUCAUUAAUUAAAAACAGAGUUGAACUUUAAUUCG
rnacentral:lncRNA from 1 species